ACAUACGACCAUAAGCACUAGAAAAUUCGGGAUCCCGUCCGCUCUCCCAUAGACAAGCUAGUGACUGCCGGAUCAGUAGUUGGGUCGGUGACGACCAGCGAAUACCUGGUGUUGUAUGUU
rnacentral:rRNA from 1 species